CCUACGGGAGGCAGCAGUGGGGAAUAUUGGGCAAUGGGCGCAAGCCUGACCCAGCAACGCCGCGUGAAGGAAGAAGGCUUUCGGGUUGUAAACUUCUUUUGUCAGGGACGAAGCAAGUGACGGUACCUGACGAAUAAGCCACGGCUAACUACGUGCCAGCAGCCGCGGUAAUACGUAGGUGGCAAGCGUUAUCCGGAUUUAUUGGGUGUAAAGGGCGUGUAGGCGGGAAUGCAAGUCAGAUGUGAAAACUAUGGGCUCAACCCAUAGACUGCAUUUGAAACUGUAUUUCUUGAGUGCUGAAGAGGAGAUCGGAAUUCCGUGUGUAGCGGUGAAAUGCGUAGAUAUACGGAGGAACACCAGUGGCGAAGGCGGAUUGCUGGACAGUAACUGACGCUGAGGCGCGAAAGCGUGGGGAGCAAACAGGAUUAGAUACCCGAGUAGUC
rnacentral:rRNA from 1 species